UACGAAGGGUGCAAACGUUGCUCGGAAUUAUUGGGCGUAAAGCGCACGUAGGCGGCUUGGCAAGUCGGAUGUGAAAUCCCUCGGCUCAACCAAGGAAGUGCAUCCGAAACUGCUGAGCUUGAGUACUUAAGAGGAUCGCGGAAUUCCCGGUGUAGAGGUGAAAUUCGUAGAUAUUCGGCAAGAACACCAGUGGCGAAGGCGGCUCACCUGG
rnacentral:rRNA from 1 species